AUUGAACGCUGGCGGCAGGCCUAACACAUGCAAGUCGAGCGAGCGGCGGACGGGUGAGUAAUGUCUGGGAAACUGCCUGAUGGAGGGGGAUAACUACUGGAAACGGUAGCUAAUACCGCAUACCAUCAGAUGUGCCCAGAUGGGAUUAGCUAGUAGUGGGGGUAAUGGCUCACCUAGGCGACGAUCCCUAGCUGGUCUGAGAGGAUGACCAGCGAAACUGGAACGGAGACACGGUCCAGACGCCUAGGGGAGGCAGAAGUGGGGAAGAUUGCACAAUGGGAGCAAGACUGAGGCAGCCAUGCCGCGUGUGUGAAGAAGGCCUUAGGGGUGUAAAGCACUGUCAGCGGGGAGGCGUUACCCGAAGAAGAAGCACCGGCUAACGCCGUGCCAGCAGCCGCGGUAAUUC
rnacentral:rRNA from 1 species